CAGCAGCCGCGGGAAUACAGAGGGUGCGAGCGUUAAUCGGAUUUACUGGGCGUAAAGCGUGCGUAGGCGGCUUUUUAAGUCGGAUGUGAAAUCCCUGAGCUUAACUUAGGAAUUGCAUUCGAUACUGGGAAGCUAGAGUAUGGGAGAGGAUGGUAGAAUUCCAGGUGUAGCGGUGAAAUGCGUAGAGAUCUGGAGGAAUACCGAUGGCGAAGGCAGCCAUCUGGCCUAAUACUGACGCUGAGGUACGAAAGCAUGGGGAGCAUACAGGAUUAGAUACCCCGGUAGUCCCUGUCUCUUAUAA
rnacentral:rRNA from 1 species